UCAUUAUUAUCAUUAUUAUCAUCAUUAUUGUCGAAGCUGGAGGCAAAGAGUCAGAUUUCCGCCCGAGGAGUUUCUUUUGUCUUUGAUGACAGAGUGGACGCUGAAUGGGAAAUGGGAAUAAAUGAUGACUGAUCAGAUGGUUCUGCUGAUUCAUUCACCUUUAUAUUUUUUCUCUCUUUUGUGGCCCAGAUGUUCGGAAGGCCAAGUCGACCUUUACGUCUUCCUCUGCCAGUUCUGAGCAAACUACGGCUACUUGCAUCAAAAACACAUUUCAAAUGAAGUGUUUUCAUGGGUUCCUCAGGGGUCUUGGUUGUUCACAAGGGUUCUCGAGGGUUCCUGCUCACCCUGUCAACAAUCAGCGUGUCCUCAAUAAGGACGACCAAACGUGUAGAUCCAGACCGUUUGGCUCAAACUCUGGAUGUUUGUGUCAUCGGACCACAGCGGCAGGAAGUGAGCCUGUUUUCCUGUAAGUGAGUGAGCGCAGCUCUCAAAUACCACUCCUGUUAGUCCGCCCCAGCAGCUGCUGCGCUCCCAGGUUCCCUGAAGGCACCACCACAACAGGAACGCCGCGAGGGUGACCUCACCCUCCUCCUUCGGUUGUGCGGGCGUGGGUGAGACCUUCUGUGCUGUGAGCGUCUGCGGCGGGAGCCAGCGGCUCGGAGAAGGUCCCGGCCGGUUUCCUGUCGUCCCACCGUGAAGCAGCCCGGUCAGCCGGAGGGCCGCCAGCCACUCCGGGUUCACCGGGUUGGUCUCCCCCAUGCAGAGAGAGAGAGAGAGAGAGAGACUCCCCCACGUGGCACAGCCUCUGUGGACACAACAAGAGGACCUGAGUGGAUCUGGACCUCAGGAAUGAGUCUUUAGGUUAAAGGGGAAAACGUGCACUCAACACUACACGGGAAGUAAAACGUCACAGGACCAGAUGUUUGUGUUUCUACUCGGUGUCUCCUGCUACGUAGGAGACACGUGUGUUUACAGCCACUAGAACCCAAAAGCUCAACUCAGAGACAGGAAUCCAAUCAAAGUUCUCUACUUGUUCAGUCAGGGUGAAAACCGGGACGUCCGUCCAACAGGAGAACAAACCCAGAGGGGCAGGCAGGGAACGUCUACACGAGAACCAGGACAUCAGGCCAAAUGAGAAACGCUGGAGAACCUGGGAUACGCGAGACAAUCCGGCAGAGGGCAAGUGAGGGACCGACGAGGCUGCAGGCGGGACGGCCACGAGGACCAGGUGAAGACAGGGAGAUGGUCUCGUGUUGAGGACAGGACCUGGAAUGACAAGCAGGAGAAACAACUGAUGCGACUUUGUGACUCGUGAGCCGGUCCAACUGAAGACGCAGGUCAGCGUCUUCUUCACAUCAAAGCAGUUGUGUUAAUAAUGAAGACGUGUGCGUUGUUACGCUGCUGAGACGCUGGUCCAAUCGCUCUUCGUCCUGAGGUCGAAUUCCCUCACAACCACAAGGAGGAAAGUACCAACAAGUCAAUGCGAAGGACCAAGAGUCUCUUUAUUCUGUAGAACUUGAAUGAAUAAAUAUUGAUGAUGAUAUUCAA